AUCUGACAUACCUGUAUUCGUCGUCUCCAUGGUUCUUGAAUAAACUCCUUUGAAGUAUUCUUCAGUGUCUCCUCAUCACUACCUGCCUGAGAGUCCGUGACAGAACGGCAUACUGAAAAGUAAAGCGGAACGAGCCGUGUUUAUCGCCGUGGCUCAGGCGAGCCCCGAUCCGGGCAUUCGUGUGUUUGCCCUCACCAGCUCCCUCAAGGGGGGAAAUGCUUGUGACGCUGUUUAGCCCUCAGCCGGCAGUUCCCCAGCCCAUUCAGCCGAACAUUAAUUUGGCAAGCCCAUUGAACAUUAAUGUAGUGUGUCCCAUUGUGUCAUGUGUUUUAAAAGUGUUCCCUGUGUU